UUAAGCGACUAAGCGUACACGGUGGAUGCCCUGGCAGUCAGAGGCGAUGAAGGACGUGCUAAUCUGCGAUAAGCGUCGGUAAGGUGAUAUGAACCGUUAUAACCGGCGAUUUCCGAAUGGGGAAACCCAGUGUGAUUCGACACACUAUCAUUAACUGAAUCCAUAGGUUAAUGAGGCGAACCGGGGGAACUGAAACAUCUAAGUACCCCGAGGAAAAGAAAUCAACCGAGAUUCCCCCAGUAGCGGCGAGCGAACGGGGAGCAGCCCAGAGCCUGAAUCAGUAUGUGUGUUAGUGGAAGCGUCUGGAAAGGCGCGCGAUACAGGGUGACAGCCCCGUACACAAAAAUGCACAUGCUGUGAGCUCGAUGAGUAGGGCGGGACACGUGGUAUCCUGUCUGAAUAUGGGGGGACCAUCCUCCAAGGCUAAAUACUCCUGACUGACCGAUAGUGAACCAGUACCGUGAGGGAAAGGCGAAAAGAACCCCGGCGAGGGGAGUGAAAAAGAACCUGAAACCGUGUACGUACAAGCAGUGGGAGCACGCUUAGGCGUGUGACUGCGUACCUUUUGUAUAAUGGGUCAGCGACUUAUAUUCUGUAGCAAGGUUAACCGAAUAGGGGAGCCGAAGGGAAACCGAGUCUUAACUGGGCGUUAAGUUGCAGGGUAUAGACCCGAAACCCGGUGAUCUAGCCAUGGGCAGGUUGAAGGUUGGGUAACACUAACUGGAGGACCGAACCGACUAAUGUUGAAAAAUUAGCGGAUGACUUGUGGCUGGGGGUGAAAGGCCAAUCAAACCGGGAGAUAGCUGGUUCUCCCCGAAAGCUAUUUAGGUAGCGCCUCGUGAAUUCAUCUCCGGGGGUAGAGCACUGUUUCGGCAAGGGGGUCAUCCCGACUUACCAACCCGAUGCAAACUGCGAAUACCGGAGAAUGUUAUCACGGGAGACACACGGCGGGUGCUAACGUCCGUCGUGAAGAGGGAAACAACCCAGACCGCCAGCUAAGGUCCCAAAGUCAUGGUUAAGUGGGAAACGAUGUGGGAAGGCCCAGACAGCCAGGAUGUUGGCUUAGAAGCAGCCAUCAUUUAAAGAAAGCGUAAUAGCUCACUGGUCGAGUCGGCCUGCGCGGAAGAUGUAACGGGGCUAAACCAUGCACCGAAGCUGCGGCAGCGACGCUGAUGCGUUGUUGGGUAGGGGAGCGUUCUGUAAGCCUGUGAAGGUGUGCUGUGAGGCAUGCUGGAGGUAUCAGAAGUGCGAAUGCUGACAUAAGUAACGAUAAAGCGGGUGAAAAGCCCGCUCGCCGGAAGACCAAGGGUUCCUGUCCAACGUUAAUCGGGGCAGGGUGAGUCGACCCCUAAGGCGAGGCCGAAAGGCGUAGUCGAUGGGAAACAGGUUAAUAUUCCUGUACUUGGUGUUACUGCGAAGGGGGGACGGAGAAGGCUAUGUUGGCCGGGCGACGGUUGUCCCGGUUUAAGCGUGUAGGCUGGUUUUCCAGGCAAAUCCGGAAAACUAAGGCUGAGGCGUGAUGACGAGGCACUACGGUGCUGAAGCAACAAAUGCCCAGCUUCCAGGAAAAGCCUCUAAGCAUCAGGUAACAUCAAAUCGUACCCCAAACCGACACAGGUGGUCAGGUAGAGAAUACCAAGGCGCUUGAGAGAACUCGGGUGAAGGAACUAGGCAAAAUGGUGCCGUAACUUCGGGAGAAGGCACGCUGAUAUGUAGGUGAAGUCCCUCGCGGAUGGAGCUGAAAUCAGUCGAAGAUACCAGCUGGCUGCAACUGUUUAUUAAAAACACAGCACUGUGCAAACACGAAAGUGGACGUAUACGGUGUGACGCCUGCCCGGUGCCGGAAGGUUAAUUGAUGGGGUCAGCGCAAGCGAAGCUCUUGAUCGAAGCCCCGGUAAACGGCGGCCGUAACUAUAACGGUCCUAAGGUAGCGAAAUUCCUUGUCGGGUAAGUUCCGACCUGCACGAAUGGCGUAAUGAUGGCCAGGCUGUCUCCACCCGAGACUCAGUGAAAUUGAACUCGCUGUGAAGAUGCAGUGUACCCGCGGCAAGACGGAAAGACCCCGUGAACCUUUACUAUAGCUUGACACUGAACAUUGAGCCUUGAUGUGUAGGAUAGGUGGGAGGCUUUGAAGUGUGGACGCCAGUCUGCAUGGAGCCGACCUUGAAAUACCACCCUUUAAUGUUUGAUGUUCUAACGUUGACCCGUAAUCCGGGUUGCGGACAGUGUCUGGUGGGUAGUUUGACUGGGGCGGUCUCCUCCUAAAGAGUAACGGAGGAGCACGAAGGUUGGCUAAUCCUGGUCGGACAUCAGGAGGUUAGUGCAAUGGCAUAAGCCAGCUUGACUGCGAGCGUGACGGCGCGAGCAGGUGCGAAAGCAGGUCAUAGUGAUCCGGUGGUUCUGAAUGGAAGGGCCAUCGCUCAACGGAUAAAAGGUACUCCGGGGAUAACAGGCUGAUACCGCCCAAGAGUUCAUAUCGACGGCGGUGUUUGGCACCUCGAUGUCGGCUCAUCACAUCCUGGGGCUGAAGUAGGUCCCAAGGGUAUGGCUGUUCGCCAUUUAAAGUGGUACGCGAGCUGGGUUUAGAACGUCGUGAGACAGUUCGGUCCCUAUCUGCCGUGGGCGCUGGAGAACUGAGGGGGGCUGGCUCCUAGUACGAGAGGACCGGAGUGGACGCAUCACUGGUGUUCGGGUUGUCAUGCCAAUGGCACUGCCCGGUAGCUAAAUGCGGAAGAGAUAAGUGCUGAAAGCAUCUAAGCACGAAACUUGCCCCGAGAUGAGUUCUCCCUGACCCUUUAAGGGUCCUGAAGGAACGUUGAAGACGACGACGUUGAUAGGCCGGGUGUGUAAGCGCAGCGAUGCGUUGAGCUAACCGGUACUAAUGAACCGUGAGGCUUAACCUU
rnacentral:rRNA from 1 species